rnacentral:lncRNA from 1 species
GGGGGGGCCGGGGGGAGCGCGCCUCGCCAGCUGUCCUAGGGUGCCCGGCUGGCGUAGAGAUGCAUGAUCCCCUCACCUGGCCCCCACGUUAUCCCCGAAAUCCCGACAACACGCGUGCAGAUGCCUGACUUCCCAGGAUAGUGAAGAUUGUGUGGUCCUCUUGGUAUCUUGACCUGAUAGCCAGUGUCACCAGCUGGUCUGCCAAGUAGGAAGGAGGAGGCCUUCCAGAAGGGAGAUCCAACACCCAGAUGAAUUAGUUGGUCAACUGGUUAACAUUUUCUCUCCCAGUAUCGUAUGAGUGUCUGUAAUCUUUAUAGUGAAGUGCUAUAAAACGCCUGCUUAAUCCCUGCCUAGUGAGUUUCAAAUCUUAGCUGUUGAACAACCACUAGGUAAAAAAUAUAUAAAUGACUUUGACAC